GACAGAGGUGCCAAGCGUUAGGCGGAAUCACUGGGCUUAAAGCGUGUGUAGGCGGACUGGUAAGUACCUUGUGAAAUCCCACGGCUUAACCGUGGAACUGCUCGGUAUACUGCCGGUCUUGAGCCACCUAGGGGCGAGCGGAACAAAUGGUGGAGCGGUGAAAUGCGUAGAUAUCAUUUGGAACGCCAAUGGUGAAAACAGGUAGCUGGGGAUGUGCUGACGCUGAGACACGAAAGCCAGGGGAGCGAACGGG
rnacentral:rRNA from 1 species